AUUGGUAUGAGGUUAAUUCCAAGAGAGAUGAGCCUCAAGAUUCAGAUGAUGAGGGUUCCAGAAAGUAUAAUAAAUGCACAUUGGUUUGGGAGGGUACAGCCAAGGAACGUAGUUACGGGGAGGUUAAGUUUAAACAGUGUCCAACAGAAAGUAUGGCUAGGGAACAUUUUAAGAAGCAUGGCACUGAGCACUACUGGGACUUGGCUCUGAGUCAGAGUGUUCUGGAGACAACUGAUGACUGAGAAACAGACAGAGCUCAACAGAAAAAGAAUAACAGAAACUGGAGCCUUUGGCAUGUGCACCUUGCAUGCAUAUUUUUUCUUUUAAUUUUUUGAGAGAGGGAAGGAAGUGAAAUAGACUGACAGAGAGAAAUAUGUAAAUAUAGUUUGAAUGUGUAAGAGAAUGAUUGUUUUCGUACCUGCAGUACAACUGUGCAAGGCUUAAGAACAAAAGCUGGUGUAAUGAAUAGGAUGUUAACCCUUAUGUGUACUGCAGAACUUUACAAUGCUGGAAGCUUGAAUAAGAGUGGACUCUGGUUUUGUAUCUCUUGUAACAGUUUUAUAGUGUAGGCUGUGCGGUCUUUGAUCUUGUGAUUUCUACAUUUGAUCCUUUUUUUUUUUUUGGUGUCGCGCAACCUGUCCUCUCAACAUUUUGAUCCAGUCUUUUCAGUAAAUAAGCCUCACUUCAGAAACUAGUUAAUUGACACUGUGUUGUUUGUUACUGAAUGCACAAACAAUAGUAUUGGUUUCUGUAUGACACAAAACUGAUAAUUCUAGUAUGGUUAAAGAAUAGAGAAAUUCAUGAAAAAAUAGUUCACUGAGCUCAACUUUAGUCUAGGGUGCGUAGAUCAAUAAGCACAUCACUCUAGUAAGGGAUACGCACACGCUUAAUCUUCUUAAUCACUUUUGAUUUAUUUCAAUUUUGCAACCGCAAACAACAGUCAAAUGUUUCGGCAGCAAGCUGCCUUCAUUGAAUCAUUCACUGAAGAAGGCUCGCUGCUGAAAUGUUUGACUGUUGUUUGCUUUGUUGCAAAAUUAAAAUAAAUCUAAUUUAUUGCUCUGUUGCUCCCUUACUAGAAUGUAAAGAAUGGAGGUUAUUUUUUUUUUUUUUUUGAGUAAACUAUAAAUGUCCAACAGCAAGUGACAGAACAUAUAGUUGUUUAAAUGUAAGGCUCUUUUUUUCUUAAAAAUUUCAUGUCGUGGAUCAUAUGUGAAAAGUGCAACUAACCAGAUGCCAAUGAUUAAAGCUAGGGGAAAAUAAAUAUCUUGCUUGUUUGUUGA